rnacentral:lncRNA from 1 species
UUCUGAAUAGUGUCAGAGCUGGAAAACUACUGGGGAGAAGGCUCGGGCUGGCCAAACGUCCUCCCCAGAGCCUGUCCUGCACUGCACAACACUCAGUGUUGGCUCAGUCUAGAAGAAAGGUCAGGAUCGAGGCUGUCUGGCAUGAGCUAUGCAUGAGAAGGCAUUCUGGAUCGUGGCCCUUUAGAACAGGAGGAGCAUUUUAAAUGACAUUACCUCAUAACCCAGUAGCCUUCCACUACUCAUCUUCCAGGGAAUGGCUUUCCAGGAGACUUCGAUGACAGAGGAGGACAGGCUUGUCACGGACACACCAGAGGGGGCUACGACACCAACUUUGACUUCAUAUGGUGAAAACGGCAGGAUGCUUUCGUUCCUGAAGACGUAUCUGGGUGUGUCAGGAGAGGUGACUACAGUCUGUAUCCAUGUUGUGGUGCCAAAGGGGCGAAAAGCGACGACAUAUCCAAACCCUUCUCCAUUCUGUAACUCCUCGGGGAUGGGCUGUGAGAAAAGCAAUCAGUGACUGAAGCCUGUGAUGUUACGUACUGCACUGGAAAAGCUUUGAAGGAGCAAAGCAUCACUGUGAAUGUAUUGCAUGCAGCUGAAACUUGUUCUGGUCUGCAUUUGGGAUCACUGCAUCAACAAAUAAACUCUGGUACAGUAGAGUGAAAUGCUUUCAUUUGAAACUAUCUGCACAUCAAAAACAGAGCAACUCCCACAUACAUUUCUUGCUCUCCAGUAAGUACACUGCCUUAAGACACUUCAGUAAACAUAUUUUUUCAAUUUCUGGUCACAAUUCAUAGUACAUAAAUAAUAUCAGAGAAUUCAGUACUACCUCCUGUACAGUGUCUGCACCUUCCCCGGA